UGGGGGAUAUUGCACAAUGGGCGCAAGCCUGAUGCAGCGACGCCGCGUGGGGGAUGAAGGCCUUCGGGUUGUAAACUUCUUUUGCUCUGAACAAGGCGCACUUUGGGGUGUGUUGAGUGUAGGGGUUGAUUAGCGCCGGCUAACUACGUGCCAGCAGCCGCGGUAAUACGUAGGGCGCGAGCGUUGUCCGGAAUUAUUGGGCGUAAAGGGCUUGUAGGUGGCUGGUUGCGUCUGUCGUGAAAGCUCAUGGCUUAACUGUGGGUUUGCGGUGGGUACGGGCUGGCUUAGAUGCAGUAGGGGAGGCUGGAAUGCCUGGUGUAGCGGUGGAAUGCGCAGAUAUCAGGAGGAAUACCGGUGGCGAAGGCGGGUCUCUGGGCUGUUACUGACACUGAGGAGCGAAAGCAUGGGGGGCGAACAGG
rnacentral:rRNA from 1 species